rnacentral:lncRNA from 1 species
AUGUCCUGGGCCAUUCCAGCACCCGCUUUAUCUCCAGUGAUCUUUGACCCCUGCAUGUCAGGAGUUCAAUCUGGUACGUUCCACUCUUUGCCCCCACUUAAUUCUUUUUUAGCUGCUCGGCCUUUGAAACCUGGUGCCAUAUGCCAGCCCAAAAGAGCCCUGAUCAAUACCAGGGGACCACGUCCCUGUGACCUUGCAACCUGCACCGUAAAGGGCAGAGGGCAGAGCAGAGCGUUGGCCAUGUUUUCAUUACGAGAUUUCAGCUGCGGUUGUUGGAGGGGGAGGGAGAGCCUUUCUGUCUCACUUUCUUUCUUGCUUUCUUUUCAUGAAAUUUAGCCCAGCUGGAACACCAGUGCUCCUGGCUGCUUGUCGACUCCUCUGCUUCAUUUAAUGAAAGUGAGCAAGAGAACCACUGAAAAUUGAGAUGCCUGAGAAGUUAGAAUGGAAAGACCGGUAGCACAUCUUGGUGGAAGAAAGGAAUUGUUUGUGUCUGUCCUUUUCAGAUAUCCUGGGCACUUUGGGGGUGCAAAGUCUCGAUGGCCCUUGUAAUGAAGGGACCCAUGAAAAAUUGCUUGGUCUUCACAGAAGAGCCCUGGAGACGUUGCAAAGCAGGCACCCAAUUUCUCCCCCUAAAAGCUCAACUUCUCGCAUGGCCGAGCCCCUGCCCAAAGGAUGGGCCUGUAGGAAGAUGCUGGGGAUGUCCAGCUGUCCCUGCACCCCACAUUUCAGGUGUGGGGCAGUGUGUGGGGUUGUUUGAACCUCAACUACGCAGGGAACACAAGUCAAGGGCCACCGCAUUUUAAAGCCACCCCUUUUUCAGGCACACACCUGCCUCUUAGUCAUCUCUUUUGACUCUGCACAAAGAAAAAGUAUAUGUGCCUGCUUUCUGCCCUGCUUGCUUUCAUUUUUAGAAGGAGAUGAAGAGGGAAAAGUUUGCAGUGUCUCCAUGGGACAGCAGAGCUGGAACAGCUUCCAAAGGGAGAUUUAACCCAGACUCACCUUGUCAGAGAGGGAAACCCAGCAGCUAAGGCUAAGAGAAAGCCACUCCCCCAGGAACAGCCAGCUACCAAGUAAUACAGCAUGGAGAGACAGAAAUUCUCCUUCGGCACAGCAUCUUCUCUGUCUGCUGCUGUGGGUCCCAUCCCCAUGGUGUUCGGUGCCAGGGACCAUGUGGCAGGACCAGGCUGAUGGUGCUCUUGCCCCGUUUGCAACACAUCAACACACUGCUUGCCUCGGGCAGAGGUCAUCUGCAGUGCCAUGUCCAUAGGCAGGAGAAAGCUACUCCCAACACAAGGAGCAGACCUCCAAGAGGUGCAGGACAAAGCAUGGCCAUGCC